UACGUAGGGGGCAAGCGUUGUCCGGAAUCAUUGGGCGUAAAGAGCGUGUAGGCGGCCAGAUAAGUCCGCUGUGAAAUCUCGAGGCUCAACUUCGAGCUGGCGGUGGAAACUGUCUGGCUAGAGUCCGGAAGAGGAGAAUGGAAUUCCUGGUGUAGCGGUGAAAUGCGCAGAUAUCAGGAAGAACACCAGUGGCGAAGGCGGCUCACUGGUCCGGUACUGACGCUGAGGUGCGAAAGCGUGGGGAGCAAACAGG
rnacentral:rRNA from 1 species